AGCCAAAAGAACAAGUGGCUGUUGAAGACAAAAGUUCCCUGCAAAAGCCUGCACAGGGAGAUGCCUGCAGCUAUCUAUUAGGAGGAGGGAAAGACGGGGUUUCCCUUUCUUAAAAGACUUUUGCACCUGUUGAUAUGCUGUCAUUAUUUUCAGCUGAAGACCUGCUAAGUCCUGGAUCUCUCUGCUGACUCUCAACCACAGGAAGCAUCAUAUUUCAAAAAUCUGUGAAGUUUGAACAAGCAGCCGUCCCAAGAUGUACCAAAUAUCUCAACUGAUGUCAACACCAGUAGCAAGUAAAUAUUCUUCCCCGUCGGAGAAAGAAUGUGCUGUAGAGCCGUCUCCCCCAUGUAUUCUCCCAAGCUCUGUCUGUGAUUUCCUCAAUGGUGACAGUCCCUUUGAGGGUCGCUCCGGAGAUCCCCUGAUGGGCUCCCCGUUCACCUGUCGACGAAGUCCCAGACUUCUCACCAACGGCUACUACAUCUGGACAGAAGACAGUUUUUUCUGCGACGAAGACGGCAACAUAACCCUGAGCCCCUCCCAGACCAGGGUUCUCUACAAGGAGAACUUAGUCAGAAUAUUUAGAAAGAAAAGGAGAAUCCGCCGUUCUUUUUCUUCUCUCUUCGACCUCAGCACCUCUGAAUCCUGGCUGCAUGGGAGCAUCUUCGAUGAUGUUGACUCCUCCCCCAGUGAGGAUGUCUGGUUGGAGGGGGUCAGGAGGCUGGAAACAAACCACUGCAAAGAAAAUGGAGGUGAUUUUGACUGUUCUCUGACUGAUGACUGGGAGUCACAGAAGCUGAAUGCAGAGUCUGUGAAAGCCUCCUUUUCUGGCCCCGUUGCCUCUCAGAGACCCAGAGAAAACUCCUACGGCUUGUCUCCUCAGUCCCAGUGGACAGCUUCUGAACAUUUCCAGGAAGAUGCAUUGGAUCAUCCAAAAACCAGUUUGUUACGAGAGGUCUCCUUUCAAGCAAUUCUGCUUGCUGCAUGCUUAAUCAUUUCUGCCUGUGCAAGGUGGUUUCUGGGAGGAAUCAUAGCCAGUGUCUUCUCCUGUUCCUUGGUGAUAAUCAUUGCUUAUGUUGUCAAGUCAUCCUUUUUCAGCCUUGCCAAAUAUUUCAAAGCCACCACCUGCACUUGGUUUGCCAAAAUCUGACAACCAUUCAUGAGGGCCUCUGAUGAAUGUC
rnacentral:lncRNA from 1 species